UACAGAGGUCUCAAGCGUUGUUCGGAUUCAUUGGGCGUAAAGGGCGCGUAGGCGGCGGGGUAAGUCGGGUGUGAAAUCUCAGAGCUCAACUCUGAAACUGCACUCGAUGCUGCUCUGCUUGAGGACUGGAGAGGAGACUGGAAUUCACGGUGUAGCAGUGAAAUGCAUAGAUAUCGUGAGGAAGACCAGUGGCGAAGGCGGGUCUCUGGACAGUUCCUGACGCUGAGGCGCGAAGGCCAGGGGAGCAAACAGG
rnacentral:rRNA from 1 species